rnacentral:tRNA from 1 species
GCAGGAGUGGCGGAAUUGGCAGACGCGCAGGCUUCAGGUGCCUGUGGUCGUUAAGACCGUGUGGGUUCAAGUCCCAUCUCCUGCACUA